rnacentral:lncRNA from 1 species
ACUCUUAGAAGGCCGUCGAGAGUGCAUGCCACAGGCACAAGCUUGCCGUCGGCAUACAAUGCCUCUCGCAUGGAGACAAGAAGUGCUAGAUGCCGUAAACAUAAGAUUGCCAUAGGUACAUAAUGCCACUCAUGAAGGAUAACUAAUUAGACCCUCAGAAGGUCGUCGAGAGUGCAUGCCACAAGUACAAGCUCAUCGUCGGUGCA